GGCCGACUAGCUCAGUUGGUUAGAGCGUCGUGCUAAUACGGUUUGUCGGUGAGCGCGUGACCGGUAAUUCCACGCUCUUACCGAGGGACUUGAUACGCGAAGGUCUUGGGUUCGAUCCCCACGUUGGCCA